CAAAAUAUUUACCAAGAAAACGUUUCUCUUCGGUGCCACCCCCUGCCAUAAAUAAUGAGCGCUCCCUUAGUUACCAAAUGCAAGACUACUGCAUGUAUUGGAAAGUCUUCAAAAGAGUUAACAUUGCAGGCGGGGCCCCAUCUGCAGCAUGCUAGCAUGCAUAGUAGAAACUACUUAAAUACAGUUUUGUAAGAAGACUCACUUGCCUAACUUUACUUUUUAUAGAUAAUUAUUACCACAACCAUCAGACGCGAGCCUACAGCACUGAUGCUUUGAAGUACAGCGGGUGUACAGCACAGGACGUGGUGCACUAAAUGAUGUGAGUAGCAACUGAGUACUUGUUUCCUAUAACAUUUGAACCGGAUUGUGUAGUUAGAAGCAAUGCUUCUACAAUAUGUUAG